GCUGAAAGAUGGGCUCGCGCCCGAUUAGGUAGUUGGUGAGAUAAUAGCCCACCAAGCCGACGAUCGGUAGCCGGACUGAGAGGUUGAACGGCCACAUUGGGACUGAGACACGGCCCAGACUCCUACGGGAGGCAGCAGUGGGGGAUAUUGCACAAUGGGGGGAACCCUGAUGCAGCGACGCCGCGUGAGGGAAGACGGUUUUCGGAUUGUAAACCUCUGUCUUUAGGGACGAAACAAAUGACGGUACCUAAAGAGGAAGCCACGGCUAACUACGUGCCAGCAGCCGCGGUAAUACGUAGGUGGCAAGCGUUGUCCGGAAUUACUGGGUGUAAAGGGAGCGUAGGCGGGAAUGCAAGUUGAAUGUUUAAACUAUGGGCUCAACCCAUAGUCGCGUUCAAAACUGCAUUUCUUGAGUGGAGUAGAGGCAGGCAGAAUUCCUAGUGUAGCGGUGAAAUGCGUAGAUAUUAGGAGGAACACCAGUGGCGAAGGCGGCCUGCUGGGCUCUAACUGACGCUGAGGCUCGAAAGCGUGGGUAGCAAACAGGAUUAGAUACCCUGGUAGUCCACGCCGUAAACGAUG
rnacentral:rRNA from 1 species